CUACCAAGGAUUCCCUUAGUAACUGCGAGUGAAGAGGGAAAAGCUCAAAUUUAAAAUCUGGCAGUGUUUCACUGUCCGAGUUGUAACCUAGAGAAGUGUAACCUGCGCUGGACCGUGUAUAAGUCUCCUGGAAUGGAGCAUCACAGAGGGUGAGAAUCCCGUCUUUGACAUGGACUACCAGUGCAUUGUGGUUGCGCUCUCAACGAGUCGAGUUGUUUGGGAAUGCAGCUCUAAAUGGGUGGUAAAUUCCAUCUAAAGCUAAAUAUUGGCGAGAGACCGAUAGCGAACAAGUACCGUGAGGGAAAGAUGAAAAGAACUUUGGAAAGAGAGUUAAACAGUAUGUGAAAUUGUUGAAAGGGAAACGUUUGAAGUCAGUCGCGUUGGUUGGGGAUCAGCCUGACAUUGUUGGGUGUACUUCCUGGUCGACGGGCCAACAUCAGUUUUGACUGCCAGAAAAAGAUCAAAGGAAUGUGGCACCUUUGGGUGUGUUAUAGCCCUUGGUCGUAUAUGGUGGUUGGGACUGAGGAAAGCAGCGUGCCAAAAGGCCGGGUUUCGACCACGUUCACGCUGAGGAUGUUGGCAUAAUGGCUUUAAGCGACCCGUCUUGAAACACGGACCAAGGAGUCUAACAUGCAUGCGAGUGUUUGGGUGGAAAACCCUUACGCGUAAUGAAAGUGAAAGUUGAGAUCCCUGUCGCGGGGAGCAUCGACGCCCGGACCAGAACUUUUGGGACGGAUCCGCGGUAGAGCACGUAUGUUGGGACCCGAAAGAUGGUGAACUAUGCCUGAAUAGGGUGAAGCCAGAGGAAACUCUGGUGGAGGCUCGUAGCGAUUCUGACGUGCAAAUCGAUCGUCAAAUUUGGGUAUAGGGGCGAAAGACUAAU
rnacentral:rRNA from 1 species